GAUGAACGCUGGCGGCGUGCCUAAUACAUGCAAGUCGAGCGAACGGACGAGAAGCUUGCUUCUCUGAUGUUAGCGGCGGACGGGUGAGUAACACGUGGAUAACCUACCUAUAAGACUGGGAUAACUUCGGGAAACCGGAGCUAAUACCGGAUAAUAUUUUGAACCGCAUGGUUCAAAAGUGAAAGACGGUCUUGCUGUCACUGAUAGAUGGAUCCGCGCUGCAUUAGCUAGUUGGUAAGGUAACGGCUUACCAAGGCAACGAUGCAUAGCCGACCUGGGAGGUGGAUCGGCCACGCUGGAACUGAGACACGGUCCAGACUCCUACGGGAGGCAGCAGUAGGGAAUCUUCCGCAAUGGGCGAAAGCCUGACGGAGCAACGCCGCGUGAGUGAUGAAGGUCUUCGGAUCGUAAAACUCUGUUAUUAGGGAAGAACAUAUGUGUAAGUAACUGUGCACAUCUUGACGGUACCUAAUCAGAAAGCCACGGCUAACUACGUG
rnacentral:rRNA from 1 species